GACGAACCGUGCGAACGUAUUCGGAAUCACUGGGCUUAAAGCGCGUGUAGGCGGCCCGGCGCGUCAGUCGCUGAAAUCCCCCGGCUCAACCGGGGAAGGGGCGUUGAUACGGCCGGGCUGGAGGGGGGUAGGGGGAUCGGGAACUUCCGGUGUAGCGGUGAAAUGCGCAGAUAUCGGGAAGAACACCCGUGGCGAAGGCGGCACUCUGGGGACGGUACUGACGCUGAGACGCGAAAGCGUGGG
rnacentral:rRNA from 1 species